AACAUCACUGUUAUUGGACCAUGCUUUUUCUCUGUGGCAAAAUAGCACCAAGGCAACCACUGGGACCUUCUGGAAACAGACCACAAGUGAGAGCAACUGCUUGGAUCACACUCUCAGCUCCUGGCUGACCAGCAUUUCCUUUCAUAUACCCUACACAUCUGGGCCCCCGCAGAAAGUACUAGAAAGGACUUGUUCGUGUGAGGGCAGAUCCAAGCACCGUCUUCAUGGGGCCAGGUGUCUCAUCUCUUCUAGGAGACAUCCUAAGAAUCACGUUCUUCAGUGACUACUGGGCGCUAAUCACCCUGAGAAAUCUGGACAUCCAGUACAGAAGGGAUUUGUGACCCGUGAAAC